GCUGGGCGUGGUGGUGCAUGCCUGUAAUCCUAGCUACUUAGGAGGCUGAGGCAAGAGAAUUGCUUAAACCUGGGAGGCGGAGAUUGUAGUGAGCCGAGAUCGUGCCAUUGCACUCCAGCCUGGGCAACAAAAGCAAAACUCUGUCUCAAAAAAAAAGAAAAAAGAAGAGUGUGUGUUUGUUUAGACGGAGUCUGGCUGUUGUUGGCCCAGGCUGGAGUGCAAUGGCGCUAUCUCGGCUUACUGCAACCUCCGCCUCCCAGGUUCCAGCCACUAUCCUGCCUAAG
ensembl:misc_RNA Metazoa_SRP Metazoan signal recognition particle RNA